AGGAAUAUUGGUCAAUGGACGAGAGUCUGAACCAGCCAAGUAGCGUGAAGGAUGAAGGCCCUAUGGGUCGUAAACUUCUUUUAUAGGGGAAUAAAGUGCGGAACGUGUUCCGCUUUGUAUGUACCCUACGAAUAAGGAUCGGCUAACCCCGUGCCAGCAGCCGCGGUAAUACGGAGGAUCCGAGCGUUAUCCGGAUUUAUUGGGUUUAAAGGGAGCGUAGGUGGACGUAUAAGUCAGUUGUGAAAGUUUGCGGCUCAACCGUAAAAUUGCAGUUGAUACUGUAUGUCUUGAGUGUACAAGAGGUGGGCGGAAUUCGUGGUGUAGCGGUGAAAUGCUUAGAUAUCACGAAGAACUCCGAUUGCGAAGGCAGCUCACUAGAGUACAACUGACACUGAGGCUCGAAAGUGUGGGUAUCAAACAG
rnacentral:rRNA from 1 species